rnacentral:tRNA from 1 species
AGAGACUAAAAGACAGCUAAUUGCCUGUCAGGCGUCCGCACAAGUAACCUGCACAUUAAUCCGUACAACAGACUGGGUCUGUAGCUCAGGUGGUUAGAGCGCACCCCUGAUAAGGGUGAGGCCGGUGGUUCGAGUCCUCCCAGACCCACCACUAUUCGGGGCCUUAGCUCAGCUGGGAGAGCACCUGCUUUGCAAGCAGGGGGUCGUCGGUUCGAUCCCGACAGGCUCCACCAGUGUUGUAUUGGAUUGAUUGCGCACACACAUGAAGAUUUGAAGCAAUGCGGCGCUGAAGCCGGCAUUGUGUUCUUUGAAAACAAGGGAAGUAGCGAGCGUUUGAGACGAUUGUCCAAAACGUGUCGUAAGAGGCUAAGGCGAAGUAUCGAGAGAUACUUUUAUUUGAUGUUGUCGUUGAUAUUCGCGUCCGGGAUUUGUACCCCUGGACAUCACGAUGACCCCGAGGCGACUUGGGGUUAUAU